rnacentral:tRNA from 1 species
GGAGGCCUUAGCUUAAUUAAAGUGUCUGAGUUGCAUUCAGGAGAUGUGUUAUAGAGUUUCACAGGUCUUA